rnacentral:rRNA from 1 species
UACGUAGGGUGCGAGCGUUAAUCGGAAUUACUGGGCGUAAAGCGUGCGCAGGCGGCGUGUUAAGACAGGUGUGAAAGCCCCGAGCUUAACUUGGGAAUUGCGCUUGUGACUGGCGAGCUGGAGUGUGGCAGAGGGGGGUGGAAUUCCGCGUGUAGCAGUGAAAUGCGUAGAGAUGCGGAGGAACACCGAUGGCGAAGGCAGCCCCCUGGGCUAACACUGACGCUCAGGCACGAAAGCGUGGGGAGCAAACAGG